GGGAUUCUCUAGCUUCAU
rnacentral:miRNA from 1 species